rnacentral:rRNA from 1 species
UGGGGAAUAUUGCACAAUGGGCGCAAGCCUGAUGCAGCCAUGCCGCGUGUGUGAAGAAGGCCUUCGGGUUGUAAAGCACUUUCAGCGGGGAGGAAGGCGUUAAGGUUAAUAACCUUGGCGAUUGACGUUACCCGCAGAAGAAGCACCGGCUAACUCCGUGCCAGCAGCCGCGGUAAUACGGAGGGUGCAAGCGUUAAUCGGAAUUACUGGGCGUAAAGCGCACGCAGGCGGUCUGUCAAGUCGGAUGUGAAAUCCCCGGGCUCAACCUGGGAACUGCAUUCGAAACUGGCAGGCUAGAGGCUUGUAGAGGGGGGUAGAAUUCCAGGUGUAGCGGUGAAAUGCGUAGAGAUCUGGAGGAAUACCAGUGGCGAAGGCGGCCCCCUGGACAAAGACUGACGCUCAGGUGCGAAAGCGUGGGGAGCAAACAGG